CUGUAAAAAGGGCAUACCCCAUGAAAGCGGGGGACGCAAAGUCAUCGGUCUACGGGGCGAAAGCCAUAGGACGGCAGGGCUGCCAGG
rnacentral:ncRNA from 1 species